rfam:Camelus ferus unplaced genomic scaffold scaffold1731, whole genome shotgun sequence.
GAGGGUAUAGCUCAGUGGUAGAGUGUGUGCUUAGCAUGCACGAGGUCCUGGGUUCAAUCCCCAGUACCUCCA